CCUACGGGAGGCAGCAGUGGGGAAUAUUGGGCAAUGGGCGCAAGCCUGACCCAGCAACGCCGCGUGAAGGAAGAAGGCUUUCGGGUUGUAAACUUCUUUUUUCAGGGAAGAGUAGAAGACGGUACCUGACGAAUAAGCCACGGCUAACUACGUGCCAGCAGCCGCGGUAAUACGUUGGUGGCAAGCGUUGUCCGGAUUUACUGGGUGUAAAGGGCGGGUAGCCGGGUUGGCAAGUCAGAUGUGAAAUCCUGCGGCUUAACCGCAGAACUGCAUUUGAAACUGUUGAUCUUGAGUACUGGAGAGGCAGAUGGAAUUCCUAGUGUAGCGGUGAAAUGCGUAGAUAUUAGGAGGAACACCAGUGGCGAAGGCGGUCUGCUGGACAGCAACUGACGGUGAGGCGCGAAAGCGUGGGGAGCAAACAGGAUUAGAUACCCGGGUAGUC
rnacentral:rRNA from 1 species